CAGAACGAACGCUGGCGGCGUGCUUAACACAUGCAAGUCGAACGCGAAAGGGACUUCGGUCCUGAGUAAAGUGGCGCACGGGUGAGUAACGCGUAGAUAACCUGUCUUCAUGUCUGGAAUAAUACGCCGAAAGGGGUACUAAUACCGGAUAUUCUUGCUUUUCAUAAGUAUGCAAGCAAAGGUGGCCUCUGCAUAUGCUACUGCAUGAAGAGGGGUCUGCGUACCAUUAGCUAGUAGGUGGGGUAAUGGCCUACCUAGGCGACGAUGGUUAGCGGGUCUGAGAGGAUGAUCCGCCACACUGGCACUGGAACACGGGCCAGACUCCUACGGGAGGCAGCAGUGAGGAAUAUUGCGCAAUGGGGGAAACCCUGACGCAGCGACGCCGCGUGAGUGAGGAAGGCCUUCGGGUCGUAAAGCUCUGUCAAGAGGAAAGAAGUGUACAAUGGCUAAUACCUGUUGUAUUUGACGGUACCUCUAAAGGAAGCACCGGCUAACUCCGUGCCAGCCGCCGC
rnacentral:rRNA from 1 species